UCCGGUUUGUCACCGGCAGUCUCCGUAGAGUGCCCAACUAAAUGAUGGCAACUAAAGACGAGGGUUGCGCUCGUUGCGGGACUUAACCCAACAUCUCACGACACGAGCUGACGACAACCAUGCACCACCUGUGCACGGCCCUUACGGACCCCCCAUCUCUGGAGGAUUUCCCUGCAUGUCAAGCCUUGGUAAGGUUCUUCGCGUUGCAUCGAAUUAAGCCACAUGCUCCGCCGCUUGUGCGGGCCCCCGUCAAUUCCUUUGAGUUUUAGCCUUGCGGCCGUACUCCCCAGGCGGGGCGCUUAAUGCGUUAGCUGCGGCACGGAUCCCGUGGAAGGGAACCCACACCUAGCGCCCAACGUUUACGGCGUGGACUAC
rnacentral:misc_RNA from 1 species